UGGCUAACCCAUCUCGCGAGAGGGGGAGCCGGCACGAGGACCUGGGAGACGGCGGCGCAGGAGUGAGGACCUUGGCCAUACGUCGGCGCGAGGACCUGCAGGCGAGGACGCCGACGCGAGGUCCAGGAGGCGAAGCCCAGGCUGGUCUUCGUCGUAGUGGCCGCUCGCCCACGUAUGUCCCCGCCGCCGCCGCCGUGAGGUUCUAGAGGGGACGACGCCGGCGCGAGGGCUUGGAGGUCCCGGCUGCGCUUGGUCGUAAUGAUGGACGAACAGAGCUAGGGUUCAGAUUGCUAGUGGAUAUGCCAGCAGUGCGUUCACUACAUUGCGCAACUUCAGCAAUCACUAAUCGCAUGAUCAGCGGCUGCCCGCGUCCGGCACUUGAGUUGUCCUCGAUGCCUGCAAUGACGCUGCUGCUGCUGACUGUAGCACGCUGCUGCUGCUACGUAUUUGACAUGUAGGCAUCAUCAACACAAAACUCUCAAGGUAAGAGGGAUAUGAUAUGAAUUUUUUUCAGCAGAGAACAUCAUUUGGUUUGUCACACAAACCCACAAGUAGAAAUUGCAGCCUUAAACUUUCCAGAAUCAACUGUUAACUGUGUAUGCUUAUGGUCAUACUCCUGUAUCAUACACGUACACAAGUUCAGGCCAUAUAUGUAUAAAGUUCUGUUAACUGUCUAGCCUUUAUUCAGUAAUGAAAUCUUGAAUUUUGGAUUA